UACGUAGGGUGCAGGCGUUGUCCGGAAUUAUUGGGCGUAAAGAGCUCGUAGGCGGUUUGUCGCGUCUGCUGCGAAAACCCGAGGCUCAACCUCGGGCCUGCAGUGGGUACGGGCAGACUAGAGUGCGGUAGGGGAGAUUGGAAUUCCUGGUGUAGCGGUGGAAUGCGCAGAUAUCAGGAGGAACACCGAUGGCGAAGGCAGAUCUCUGGGCCGUAACUGACGCUGAGGAGCGAAAGCAUGGGUAGCGAACAGG
rnacentral:rRNA from 1 species